UACGUAGGGGGCUAGCGUUGUCCGGAAUCAUUGGGCGUAAAGCGCGCGUAGGCGGCCCGGUAAGUCCGUUGUGAAAGUCAAAGGCUCAACCUUUGAAAGCCGAUGGAUACUGCCGGGCUAGAAUCCGGAAGAGGCGAGUGGAAUUCCUGGUGUAGCGGUGGAAUGCGCAGAUAUCAGGAGGAACACCAAUAGCGAAGGCAGCUCGCUGGGACGGUAUUGACGCUGAGGCGCGAAAGCGUGGGGAGCAAACAG
rnacentral:rRNA from 1 species